AAAAAAGAUAAUAUUGUGAGAAAUAAACAUAAAAAUACACAUUUAAAAUCUAUAGAUCUAAAACUUACAUUUUUUAAAGGAGAAGAUGAAAACCAUGAAUCAUAAUAUCUAAAAUGACAAGAUAAUAUUGUGAGAAAGACUUGAGAAAAUUUUAGAGAGAAAGAAGAUAAUGAGAGAGAUUUAGAAACAAUUGAGAGAAUUUUAGAGAGAAGAGAGAAAGUUUUAGAGAGAAGGGAGAGAAUUUUAAAAACUUGUGCAGCCACUUUAGAGAGAGAUUGUAUAAAUUUUGUUUAUAUAGGGAGACAAAAAUGUAACUAGGUUAAAAUUUACGAUACUGUAGACUUCGUUUGAAGUCUACUAAAAUUAAAAUUUUGGAG
rnacentral:lncRNA from 1 species